CCUACGGGAGGCAGCAGUGAGGAAUAUUGGUCAAUGGACGAGAGUCUGAACCAGCCAAGUAGCGUGAAGGAUGACUGCCCUAUGGGUUGUAAACUUCUUUUAUAUGGGAAUAAAACAGGGUAUGCAUACCCUCUUGUAUGUACCAUAUGAAUAAGGAUCGGCUAACUCCUUGCCAGCAGCCGCGAUAAUACGGAGGAUCCGAGCGUUAUCAGGAUUUAUUGGGUUUAAAGGGAGCGUAGGUGGUUUGUUAAGUCAGUUGUGAAAGUUUGCGGCUCAACAGUAAAAUUGCAAUUGAAACUGGCAGUCUUGAGUACAGUCGAGGUGGGCGGAAUUCGUGGUGUAGCGGUGAAAUGCUUAGAUAUCACGAAGAACUCCGAUUGCGAAGGCAGCUUACUAGACUGCAACUGACACUGAUGCUCGAAAGUGUGGGUAUCAAACAGGAUUAGAUACCCCUGUAGUC
rnacentral:rRNA from 1 species